rnacentral:rRNA from 1 species
UGGGGAAUAUUGGACAAUGGGCGAAAGCCUGAUCCAGCCAUGCCGCGUGUGUGAAGAAGGUCUUCGGAUUGUAAAGCACUUUAAGUUGGGAGGAAGGGCAUUAACCUAAUACGUUAGUGUUUUGACGUUACCGACAGAAUAAGCACCGGCUAACUCUGUGC